rnacentral:rRNA from 1 species
AUGACCAACUUUUGCACGAAUUUUCAAGUGGAUGAGAUCGGUCGAGUGGUCUCAGUUGGAGAUGGGAUUGCAUGUGUUUAUGGAUUGAACGAGAUUCAAGCAGGAGUGGUGGAAUUUGCCAGCGGUGUGAAAGGAAUAGCCUUAAAUCUUGAGAAUGAGAAUGUAGGUAUUGUUUUCUUUGGUAGUGAUACCGCUAUUAAAGAAGGAGAUCUUGUCAAGCGCACUGGAUCUAUUGUGGAUGUUCCU